UUUUUGUGUGUGUGUGCCAUGCUGUGUUCUGCAAUGCUUCGUUACCACGUUUAUCGAUUAUGCACGUUGGUUACUUGAUUCAAUGUCAAGUGUACCUUCCAAGACGAUCUAGGUCCUAGUCUCGUGACUGAAGGCGAGUGCGGCCGUACAGCAGCCUUUUGACAAGACUGUCGCCGAGUGUACGGUACAUUGUGGACUGUAAAGCUGAAGAGUGCACAGUGGAUGCCUGAUUUUGGAACCGAGUGUGAUCGUCUGGGCGGUGUGUUCACUCUGCGGGGAUGAUGGCCAGAGGAAGGAUGAUAGACAGACGACAGCUUGCAGACGAAGAUGGGAGCGUUCUACCUGUGAGCCUGGUCGAGCUUAUAUUUUAUGGUAGGCAUUUGUUUCAAUCUUUACAAAGAGCUUCGACAUGUUGCGCCUGCUCAUGAACCUAUUGCAACUUUUUUGAGGGAAUUCUAAGAUCAAAGAAACAAGACCCUAGACGUAACUCCAUUAAUGUAUACUUGAUGCUGGACUUGACCUUCUGUGUUGUUUUCCUGUUUUCUUACAGGAUUUGCUGAAAGUUUCUAUUGGAAAUGCGAUAUAAGAUGCAAUUUUGACUAACUCUAACUUCACAAAAGUGCUUUUUGUCAACUACCUGCACGGGGCCUUGGCAGUACAUCUAAGUGUUCUA